GUGUACAUGGAUGUUUUGUUGUCUUACAUAUAUUUUAGUUAUAAAUAUAUGUAUUGACAUGUUGUUGUGUUUGCGUAUGCUAGUUGGUAUGAAGGUUGUUACACUAGUAUAUGUGGGGAAUAGAAUACUUAUGUAUUUGCGUAGUGGCGUAUAUGUCAAGAGGACUGUACAGGAUAUUUGUGUAGAUGUCAAGGUUUAAUGCCUUACGUUUACCCUUGUAUGCGACACGCAUGUGAAUGUUGUCGGUACUAGAUUCUUUUUGGGAGAAUAUAUUUAGAAUCGAUAGAAUGACUAGGAGUUUAUACCGGAAGUUCUAGUGGAAGAGUAUAGAUGGGUUUGAGAUAAGUGGGGGAGAAAGUUGUGUCUCUCCGAGAUGGUUCGAAUGUGAAGAAGUUAGGAUGGAUGGAGAUGCUCUUGAAGUAGAUUGUUCAAGAUUGAUUAGUGUUGUUCGAAGUGGAAGGAACUUGGACAGCAAGUUGUGAGGAUUGCUAGAUGAGAAGUUGUUGGACUAAGUGUUCGUCAUGGGAUCAACACUGAGAUUGGUUAAGAAAGAUGAAGACCGUUUGGAAACGAUUGGAGAUCGUGUAGUGUACAAAAGAGUAUGGACUAGAGGCGGAUGAGAACUACAAGAAUUUCUCAGAAGCAAUACCAUGGAAUGGAAGGAGUAGGACGUUGUCGUUCAGACAAGUUGAGUAAGGACGAGUAGACGUCAAUUUGAUAAGGGAUUGAAAGUAAAGUUCUUAUUUGGAGAGUAUUUUGGAGGAAAUAUUAGAUGAUCAUUCCGGAAGAUUCAGAAUGAGUCGAACUAAAGUUGUUUAACCGUAAAGAGAAUGUGACCAUUGUGGAAUGGUGGAACGGACAGAGAUGUUAAAUGGAAACCGUUGUUGGAAAACGGAGAAGACGUUGUGCGUUAAGAGUAGGCGAACCUAGUGAUGAUUAGGUGAUGGUUAUAAGAAUGGUGGGAAUACCUAUAGAGUUGUAUCGGUGUGAGCUAAACUUGUUAAUUAUUAGCAAGUGAACCUUUAAGGAAAGUAAACAUUUUGAAUAGUUCGAAGAGACUAGUCAAGAUUGGAAUAAAGAUUUUGUGUGGAUGAACUUUAGGAUGUUAUGACUUUAAGAUAGUCACGAGAUGCGAAUAAGAACUGAUCGAAUGGAGAAAAGUAUGUUUGUCACAGUGAAGAACGAUAAGGAACGUGACUAGUUGGAUUGUGUGCGACAAAUAAGGACGUUGUUGGAAUCAACAAGAUAUGAACUGUGGUUGUUUGGAAAUCAACUUUUGGAUAGUCACCGAGAUUGAAUAUGGAAUUACUAGGUGAUCGAGAAGAGCCUAGGAAGGAUUUAUAGCGGUUGAGUGUGUUAGAAUCGAGUAGUCAUUUCUUGGAAAGAUUUGAGAAGCUUAGAAUAUAGAUGUUAAGCUUAGAGAACCAUUAGUGUUGUAUAACCAAGGAAAAGAAGUGAGUUCUCAUAGUAGAUGAGAAUGAAAUUAAGAGAUACCAUAGUAGGUUAGUAAACUUGUGAGGGUAUCAAGUAGUAGAGGAUGGUAUGAGUAGUAGAGUUAUUUCAAGAUGGAAGUGGGGUGACAAUUUGAUGGAUUUUGUAAGAGCUUGUCGAGAAAGAAAUAAUUUCAUUUGGAUAAUGAUCGGACGAUUAGUGUCGGAGUUGGAUGAAACCUUAGGAGGUUGAGAUGGAACUGAGAGCGAAGUAUCAUUUUUGGAUGUUUGGAAAUAAGAAAGUAUCAGAGAGAGUGUUUUGUAACAUUCGGAAGUAAGAAUGAGAUUGACAACGACUUAUUGGAAAAGUCGGUGGAGAUUUGAGAUGUUGGACACAUCGUAUCCGUUGGAAUAGUAAAAUUAUACCAUGUGGUAAAGGAGUAAAGGAUUUCGAAUAUUUUCAUCAUGGAUGGUGAAACAACAAUGAGUCUAUGGGUGACUUAAAAUAAUAUUUUGAUAAGGGUAUCGCGGCGGAAAAGCGACAUUGGAAAUGUUAUGUUACGUAAUCUAAGAAUUUAACGGUUAGAGGUGGUGAAUUUGAUAAGUGUCAAGAAAAAUUUGAGGAGUUGAUCAACUAAGGAAUGUUGAGGUUGUGUUGUCAACUAAAUGAUUGGAAUAAGAUUUGACGCAGUUAAGGGAUUGAAGAAAAGUUGAGGACUUAUGGAACUUGAAAAGUUGUAAGGUAUUCAACGAAAACGUCUUUUCAAGGUGUAUUAGACUGAUUAGAGUUUGUUUUGAGUGGUGCAGUGAGUACCGUAAGAUAUUAAGUGGACGUUUUGGUGGUUUGAUAAGAAUGGUUUAUACCGACAUCAUGAUUGUUGACUAUCUAUCGACAAAUCGAGGGAUUAGCUGUCCUUGAUCUAUUGUUGGUAGUAGACGAGAUUGUGUUGGUUGGGAUAGACUAAUUUUGUCAAACUUAUUAAUACGUGGAGUUUGAAGUGUUUUGUUGGAAAUCGGAUAAAAGAGUUAUCCGGAGUUGUUUUAAGUCGGGUAAUUUUCGAGGGCGAAAAUCUUUUAAGUGGGAGAGAGUUGUAACGACCCGAAAUUUAUUAUUCGUUAUUUAAUUAUUUUAUUACGCGAGGGCGUAAUUCAUAAUUAUUUUAUUAAGCGGCGAAUAAUUAAUUGGCGCGAAUAUAAGUUAAUACGCGAGUUAGGAGCGUUACGUGAGUGAACCGUAUUAUUGGGCCUUGGAUUUGUUAUUGGGCUUUUGGCCCAAUGGGCCAAGACAAGUGGGAAGGGGGAGGUUUACUCAUGCAAGUGGGAGGAGAUAUUUCCACAAUUUUUCUUGUUGGAUAAGAAGAAGAGAAAAAGUCAUGAGCAAGUGGAUGAUCAUGGUUAAGUGAGUGAACCAUGAUUAACUUGAACUUGGAGAGCAAGACUAGAUCAAGUGACCAUGAUUCUUUGUGUGGUGAGCAAGAAUAGAUCAAAAGGCCAUGUUUAAUUCAAGCUUUCUAUAUAAUUAUAUGAAUAGGAAAAAUCACAUAAUUCAUUCAUUUCUUUCCUCAAAACCGUGAGCCUUCCUUAUCAUGCCUAACCCUUCACCAAAUUUUCAUUUCUUCACCAAAUUGAUCCAUUAGAAGCUUGUUGGAAUCAUGGGAGUUCAAGGAUCAUCAUCCCUAAGCUAGGGCAAGCAAGAGAGCAAAGCAAGAGGGUGCUAGGGCUUGAGAAAGAGAUGAGCUCAUGAGAGCUAGAACAUGAGGAGCUUGAGGAUUCAUCAAAUUUCUAAGAUAUCCAGAUUGACAGGUUAUAUGUUAGCUUGUCCGAGUAGCGUGGUGAAGCUCCGCUCUUAUUGUGACACGGGGAGAAAAGGGGUUUUGUAUAUAUAUAUAAAAAUUCCUUUAGAAAAUUACUCUGUAAUUGCUUAUGUUUUCAUAUAAGAAUUAUUCUUUGUGAAAAGUAUUGGUUUUGUAUAACUUAUAACGCAUCGUGUUGAUGCGGAGGAUUUUGUAUUUUGUGAUAUUCAAACCAGCGCUUUAUAAUCAGAUUUUCAA